GAUCAUGGCUCAGGAUGAACGCUAGCUACAGGCUUAACACAUGCAAGUCGAGGGGCAGCAUUAUCGAAGCUGCUUUGAUAGAUGGCGACCGGCGCACGGGUGAGUAACGCGUAUCCAACCUUCCCAUCACUCAGGGAUAGCCCGCCGAAAGGCGAAUUAAUACCUGAUGGUCUCCUUUGCAGACAUCUAACGAGGAGUAAAGAUUUAUUGGUGAUGGAUGGGGGAUGCGUCUGAUUAGGUAGUAGGCGGGGUAACGGCCCACCUAGCCGACGAUCAGUAGGGGUUCUGAGAGGAAGGUCCCCCCACAUUGGAACUGAGACACGGUCCAAACUCCUACGGGAGGCAGCAGUGAGGAAUAUUGGUCAAUGGACGGAAGUCUGAACCAGCCAAGUAGCGUGCCAGGAUGACGGCCCUAUGGGUUGUAAACUGCUUUUGUGCGGGAAUAAAGUAUGGGACGUGUCCCAUUUUGCAUGUACCGCACGAAUAAGGACCGGCUAAUUCCGUGCCAGCAGCCGC
rnacentral:rRNA from 1 species